GACGAACGCUGGCGGCGUGCUUAACACAUGCAAGUCGAACGGUGAACGAGGGAGCUUGCUCCCUCCGGAUCAGUGGCGAACGGGUGAGUAACACGUGAGCAAUCUGCCUCGAACUCUGGGAUAAGCGUUGGAAACGACGUCUAAUACCGGAUACGACACGGAAGGGCAUCCUCUCCUCGUGGAAAGAACUUCGGUUCGGGAUGAGCUCGCGGCCUAUCAGCUUGUUGGUGAGGUAACGGCUCACCAAGGCCACGACGGGUAGCCGGCCUGAGAGGGUGACCGGCCACACUGGGACUGAGACACGGCCCAGACUCCUACGGGAGGCAGCAGUGGGGAAUAUUGCACAAUGGGCGCAAGCCUGAUGCAGCAACGCCGCGUGAGGGACGACGGCCUUCGGGUUGUAAACCUCUUUUAGCAGGGAAGAAGCGAAAGUGACGGUACCUGCAGAAAAAGCACCGGCUAACUACGUG
rnacentral:rRNA from 1 species